rnacentral:rRNA from 1 species
CCUACGGGCGGCUGCAGUGAGGAAUAUUGGUCAAUGGGCGGAAGCCUGAACCAGCCAAGUAGCGUGCAGGAUGACGGCCCUACGGGUUGUAAACUGCUUUUAUACGGGAAUAACGCGCCUUACGUGUAGGGCUUUGCAUGUACCGUAUGAAUAAGGACCGGCUAACUCCGUGCCAGCAGCCGCGGUAAUACGGAGGGUCCGGGCGUUAUCCGGAUUUAUUGGGUUUAAAGGGAGCGUAGGCCGCAUGUCAAGCGUGCUGUGAAAUGUCGGGGCACAACCCGGGCCUUGCAGCGCGAACUGGCGGGCUUGAGUACAGGGAAGGCAGGCGGAAUGCGUGGUGUAGCGGUGAAAUGCUUAGAUAUGACGAAGAACCCCGAUUGCGAAGGCAGCUUGCUGCAGCGGAACUGACGCUGAUGCUCGAAAGCGCGGGUAUCGAACAGGAUUAGAUACCCUAGUAGUC